rnacentral:rRNA from 1 species
AACGAUUUGAUAGCUGUCUUGCACACACAUCAUGGUAAAAUAUUCAUCAGUACAAAUAAUAUGCUGCUGACACUAAAGGACAAAAAGACCCUUUGAAGCUUUAUAGGGAUAAAACUCAGCUUUAAAUCAACAAACAAUGAAAUCCAUCUUGUUGCUUCUCCGCUUUUUAAAUUGCUAAAGCCUUACAAGAUUUACAACAUCAAGACCACUGUUUAAUUGGGGCGAUAACCUUAUCCACAGCCACCUAAGGUGAACAAAGCGAUACAAGGAUCCUAAAUACUAAUUUGACCAACUAAUAAGUGCAAAGAUACAUGUUUUGCUUAAUGGCCCAACAAGUCCUUCCCAGUACUUAAAUGCUAUCUUAAUGAGCUUUAAAUUAAUUUACCAG